rnacentral:rRNA from 1 species
AACGAACGCUGGCGGCAUGCCUAACACAUGCAAGUCGAACGAUACCUUCGGGUCUAGUGGCGCACGGUUGCGUAACGCGUGGUAACCUGCCCUUAGGUUCGGAAUAACGCCCCGAAAGGGGUGCUAAUACCGGAUAAUGUCUUCGGACCAAAGAUUUAUCGCCUUGGGAUGGGCCCGCGUUGGAUUAGCUAGUUGGUAGGGUAAAAGCCUACCAAGGCGACGAUCCAUAGCUGGUCUGAGAGGAUGAUCAGCCACACUGGGACUGAGACACGGCCCAGACUCCUACGGGAGGCAGCAGUGGGGAAUAUUGGACAAUGGGCGAAAGGCUGAUCCAGCAAUGCCGCGUGAGUGAUGAAGGACUUAGGGUUGUAAAGCUCUCUUACCCGGGAUGAUAAUGACAGUACCGGGAGAAUAAGCACCGGCUAACUCCGUG